rnacentral:rRNA from 1 species
AGUGAACGCUGGCGGUAGGCCUAACACAUGCAAGUCGAACGGCAGCACAGUAAGAGCUUGCUCUUACGGGUGGCGAGUGGCGGACGGGUGAGGAAUACAUCGGAAUCUACUUUUUCGUGGGGGAUAACGUAGGGAAACUUACGCUAAUACCGCAUACGACCUACGGGUGAAAGCAGGGGAUCUUCGGACCUUGCGCGAUUGAAUGAGCCGAUGUCGGAUUAGCUAGUUGGCGGGGUAAAGGCCCACGAAGGCGACGAUACGUAGCUGGUCUGAGAGGAUGAUCAGCCACACCGGAACUGAGACACGGUCCAGACUCCUACGGGAGGCCGCAGUGGGGAAUAUUGGACAAUGGGCGCAAGCCUGAUCCAGCCAUACCGCGUGAGUGAAGAAGGCCUUCGGGUUGUAAAGCCCUUUUGUUGGGAAAGAAAAGCAGCAGGUUAAUACCCCGCUGUUCUGACGGUACCCAAAGAAUAAGCACCGGCUAACUUCGUG